GUUUCCAUAGUGUAAGUAUUAUCACGCUUGCUUCACACGCGAAAGGUACUGGGUUCGAGCCCCAGUGGAAACA
rnacentral:tRNA from 1 species